GGUUGAGAGGGUGAUCUGGCUGGGACAUCUGUCACCCCAUUCAUGCCAGGGUUGAUUUGGCUGCUCUGGUUGGCCAGGCAGGUGUCCCUGUCCUUCCUAACUGCUGCACGUGCACACCUCCCAAAACCGCAUGCUCGAUCCAAGAGAACGACCGCACCCAUAGAGUAAAAUUGUUCUUCAGCCAAGGAUAUAAGAGUGGCUAUGCUGUCCUGUUAGAACCUCCAAUCAAGCUCUCAAAGUCCAUUUGUAGAAGAACACAGUGUAGUCAAGCUUCCAAAGCUCCAGACACAUCCAAAUGGGGCACUGAAUGUGGCAGUCUACAGUUU
rnacentral:snRNA from 1 species